CUGCAUUGGUCGGUUCAUCACAAAACGGUUCAUCGACUGUCAACUGCAGCAUUGUGAAACAAGUCAUUUGCUACAGGUAAUACAAAUAUAGUAUGCCGUCCAGAAGAUACGAACGGUUGAUAAAUGACAGAACAUUCGCUGACCAAACAGUUAGUAUUGAACUGCGGUCGCGUUGUGAAUGUGCUCUGGUUUGUUUCUUGCUUGUCAACUGCACGACUAUUAACGUCUAUAAGAAUGGUAGGACAUUUAAUUGUUAUCAGAGUGAGAAAAGGGCAACGUGUAUGGAGAAGGAGGAGGUUGAAAUUAAAGCAGGAUACGCUAUGUACGAAAUCAUGCUUAAUUUUGAAUUCACACCAUUAAGUGACAUUGUGACUGAGCUCAACACAGUAUGGUAUAAGUUAUUUGUCACAUUUUAAAUAGUUUUCCAGGAAAAGAAUGUAAAAAAAUUCGUGCUUCGUGGCCGACUGUUGUUCAAACCGCCAGCCUCGGUCACGGUGGCUAAAGAUCAAUACAUGCCAUACUUGUAUGAUCAGGAAUCGAUGUCAAUCAUAUUCAUUAAUCAAUUCAAACAUAAGCUAGUAUUUGAGAUGAGAUAUAUACUUGUUUACCGAUUUGAGGUCGACUUUUACCGACUCGUUCAGAACACAUCCGUGGGUCUGUAUGUGAAGAAGCAUUAUCGAAUGUGUGCCAUGAAGCUGAUAUUUCUAGAUAAUAUUGGAAGGAGAGGCCGCUCGAGGUAUGUUAUUAUACCAUUUGACGUAAUGACCGGCAAUCUAACACAUUUCUACCUUCCGCGGGUCCAUCCAUGUUCGAGUCCAAGAAAAUGUAAACAAAUGCUGGACCCACAAAUUACAAAGGAUCAUAUGUUGAUUUCCUGUUUUGAUAAUUUGAAGAGGGAAUAUAUAAGUACCUUAUUCAAUAUAACAUGGAGACCGGGACAAUGUGUUGUUUCUUCUGGCUUCAGUUGGCAUACACGAAAACCUGCCAUGUACAUACAGCGCAUUCAAGAUGGCAGUAUUAUCUGCUCAGAAAUGUUACCCAGGGGAAUAAGAAUUCGUCAUGUCAACUCAGCGAUGUCGCCGAGAACAUUCCAUGACCCACUUCAAUACAACCUUUUUCUACUCGCUUAUUAUGUAAAGCCGUCAUCGUUUUUGAUAGCUUUUUCAUCCGAAUAUUGGAUGCAACCAAUUGUCAUCAAGAUUAUUAAUAUUGCAUGUAUACGCAUCCCCGCGCAUGCCUGGUAUAAGAAAUAUAUAUUUUGUACAGAGGUGAAAGUCAUAAUUAACUGCCAUUAUCAAAUCAAAAACGGUCGCCUAGGUGUUGUCGAAAGGCAAAUCCUAAUGCAACAUACUGGCAACCUGAUUGAACCAGUUCCGUUUAUUCACAAUAGUACCGUUAGGACCGUCAGGUUUUCGAAACUAUACGAAAAUGUUAUUGCGUAGAACAAGCGUUAGAGAAUGAUCCGAUCUCGACUGUCAACAUGAGGAAGGAGGAUUGUGGGAGCAUUAAUGUCAUGCAUGGCAGGUGGUCAUCUAGGGAUGUUUAUGAGCCCGUUGGUGUUAUAUUGUGACUCAAAAACACAACGAGCAACCAUUAGACAUGAAACAGUUACAAGAUAUAUCGAUUCGGUGCAGUAGUUUUGGCCUGAAAUCCAAUUUUGUGAAGCAAUUUUGUGAGUAAUUUUAAAGCUGUUCCAAUUCUUCCGAUUUCAAUUACUACUGAUGAAUUUGCUUCAUAAAUGAGUCUAUGGCGCUGAUACUAUGAGACCGAAUCAAGAUAUCAUGGUAGCGUUUAUCCUCCAAAAAGAUGACCUCACACAGAAAUUCAUACUUAUUACCAUCCAACAGUACCGGAGGAGGGUAUAGUAUUGUGUUAUAAAAUGGUAGUACAAUCUAAUUCGUUUUUCACCAGGACUGUUCUUCGCACUUUUCUCGCAUGAUUUGAGUCUUCUAUUGCAGAUAAAUGUUUGCUAGUGGCAGGUGCCAGAAUUGUUAUUUAUGCCACUCAAAUUAUUGUAUCUGAACCAAUAUGAUUUUGAUCUUCAUCAUAAAAUCAGAGCAAAUACCAUUGACCAUCAAACAAGCUUGAUACAAUUUACUCUUCCAGGAAAAAACUGUACUGAAGUUUAAGCGUCGCGGCACCCUGCCUUUCAAACCUGCUGUCUCUUCCGUAUUAGCAAAAAAUGAACACUUGGUUUAUCUCCAUGAUCAUGACUCUGAUGCUAUUGUAUUCAUCCACAAAUUCAAGGACAAAUACGUUACUAAGUUAACAGCAAUUCUUGUUUACCAAUUAGUAGAACAUAAUUACUGGCCCCAGGAUUAUCGGCUUGUUAACAACUUGUCUGCCUUGUCAGUGGAAUGCGAGAAUCAAGCGUCUUUCUUCCAUGAUAUGAAGCUCCUUCUUCUGGAUAGUGAACGAAUCGGACCGCGGAAUAAACCCAUACUCCAGUUGUUUGACAUUGUCACGGGCCAGUUAAGACCGAUAAUUUUUCCCAGGGGGCACCCUUGUUUUAUUGCGGAUGGGAUUCAGGAGCCAGCUAUAUAUCUUGACAAAGCGGUGUUUAUAUGUAAAGAUGAAGCUGGUCUAAUGGAUGUUCUCGUGUCUAAUAUAACAUGGCGCCACGGAGAGAUGGUCGUUUCAGCAGGGAAUCGGUUGCACAGGGGCUUGGCACCAGUUUCCCCGAUAUACAUCACGGAAAACCGUGAGGUAAUUAUUGUGGCUUCUCAUCCUCAUGGUGAACGAGAGGGCAUUCUAACCAUUAGUCACAAGUUCCCACCGAGGACGAACCACCCACAACAAACGUUCAGAAUCAAGAUUCAGAAACAACAACAUAAGACUACAAAGGAUUUUCACGCAAAGCAAUCAACAGUUUUGAUAGUCAGCUUUACCAAAUUAUGCAAGGCGAUUCUCGUUCAGAUGUUUAAACUUCUCUGUGUGCCAAUGGAACCUUUGAUAAUCAAACGGUUGUUUUGUAAAAGGUUUAACGUGGUAACAAUUUUUUAUAUUCAUUGUUCGGAAAGUGAAUUCAAUGAAGAUACUACUCUAUUCAUCAUUCUAUUGCUCAGUAAUGGCGAUAUAGUUUCGCCAGUAGCUUCUGUUGAGCAAAGCGGCAGAGACAAAACAAGGAAAAUAUUUAGGUAUUCUGAACUCUUCACACAGGUUAAGUGAGUCGUCUGAUAAAAGGUUUCAGCCGAUACCGCCAUGGAAUCGCAAAAAGAGCCAAGUUCACGUUUGUUAAAUUAAGUUUAACAUAUUUUGGAAUAACAGAAAUGGGUUCCAUCAACAAAGAGGUUAAUUUCUAAAACGCAAGUUCUUGCGAGUCUAUAAUUGAUAGCAAAGAACUUGCUAUCAUUAUCAUCAUCAUCAUCAUCAUCAUCAUCAUCAUCAUCUUCAUCAUCAUCAUGAACAGCGGCGUCAUGGCCCUUCUGUGUAUUUGCCAUUGAUGUGUUGCUGUAAAAUUGUGUAUCGUAAUGGAAAAGUCUUAAAACAAAAAUCCUGCAUGACCCUUAUAAGAAACUGAGACGGUUAGGAAUCUUACAAGACUCUUACCAAGAUAUUCAUCCUUGUGAGAGCGAGGAUUCACACUUGAUGCGCGCAGACCUUCACCCUUUCGUAUCCUUGACGGCUUCAGGAAUCGCAAACUUUUUCCAACUUGAUUUGGCCUACAUUAACCCGAAAAUGGCAUAGUGUACUCAAAUUUGAAGCGAGUGGUGCCAAAUAUAUGUAGUCACUCAAAGCUCACUUAAUACCAUACAAGACGACAACACUUUAAGAGCUCUGAGAAUAACCUCAGGUCGAUAAGGCCCUCUCGACAAGCAUGGAUGUGUAAAUGGCCAGUUCUCAUUGAAGGCGGUUCGAAGUUCCAAUGCAGUUUACUCGACAACUGUUCAACACAAUUGCCUCUAAAUGGCCCUGAUAUCGAACGAACAGUUUGCAAGUAAGACACUCGUGGUAGUAGAAUCUUCGCCAAAAUAAAGGGUGCUGCCACCCUGAAAAUGACAUCAUACGACAAAAGUGUCAAAUGCAGCAAAGUGGUUAUUGAAAGAGAGGUUAUUUUGCUAUGCUCGUUUGGCGAUGAUACAGUAAUAUUCCGGCACUCGGGUAUGGCUGGCGCGAGAAGACAGAAUUCAGAAUUAUGCCACGGCAUAAAUCGGAAUUGUGGUGCACCAUCAAUCGACCAAUCAAAACCUCGGAUCUCGUGAAUUAUGCCGUGGCAUAAAUAGGAAUUGUGGACGGAAGUACGAUUUAUGCCGCACCAUAAAUAAACGAUUGCCACUUUCUAAUUGGUCUAAUUAUGCCACACAACAAUUCCUAUUUAUGCCGUGGCAUAAUUCUGAAUUCUGCCACAGCAUAAUUCACGCGAUCCGAUGUUUUGAUUGGUUGAUUUAUGGUGCACUACAAUUCCUUUUUAUGC